ACAAAAAAGAUAACAUUUUUCAAUCCUUAAAUCAUCAACUAUGAGAUUCAGAUUCAUUAUAUAACAUCUGAAACAAUCUGGGAACAUAAUAAUCGCAAUGAGAUCGAGCUCUUAUUUUCACAAAGAAGAAGAAUCAUAAACAAAUGUUGUCUGCAACCUAAAUAAUAAACGAUUCUGUGGAAAGAAACAUAAGAAACUGAAAUGGGUAGCGUAGAAAUCUUACAAAGAUUGAGACUUUGCCACUGAAGCGUCUUCCAGAUUCCUGAUACACUACUAUGGAGUGAUAUUGUGAUUAACUGAUGAUUUUGGAAACAAAUAAAUAAAUAAAUAUCGGUAUCAGUGGCAAAAGGGACUUUAUAUAUAUAUAUUUUUUCUAGGAUUAAAAAGAAUUUAAUAUCAAUAAGAGAUUUGUGAAUUAUAAAAUGAGAGGACAAAAGAUGGGGUUGGUGGUGGUGGAGGGAUCAUCAGCCAAACGAAGAAAAGGCCAAAGCAACCGCAUCCCCAUUGAGUGGUAAGUAUUCUUCAAUCUUUAUCUUCUUCUAUUUCUAAA
rnacentral:lncRNA from 1 species